rnacentral:rRNA from 1 species
UACGAAGGGGGCGAGCGUUGUUCGGAAUUACUGGGCGUAAAGGGCGCGUAGGCGGCUUGAUAAGCGUGCGGUGAAAGCCCGGGGCUCAACCCCGGGUCGGCCGUGCGAACUGUCGAGCUGGAGCACUGUAGAGGCAGGUGGAAUUCCGGGUGUAGCGGUGGAAUGCGUAGAGAUCCGGAAGAACACCGGUGGCGAAGGCGGCCUGCUGGGCAGUGGCUGACGCUGAGGCGCGACAGCGUGGGGAGCAAACAGG